rnacentral:lncRNA from 1 species
UGGUGUUUUUAGGCUAAGACCAAACAUCAUAGGAGAUAAAUACCGGGAAGAUUUUGGAGGCAAUAAAAAAUUGUUUGUGAUGGAGCUACAUCUUCGAUAUCGAAAUAACCCCCCACCUGCAUAAACUAAGAGAUCAAUGACACAACAGUGGCUGCAGCAGCAGUUUAAUGACUUGUUAUUGCACGAGCUAGAAGGAAAAUGCAAUGGUCAGUAGGCAUUGAUACUUUUCAAACUUGAUGGUUCUGAUGAUUUGAAGUCACCCCUGCAAUUAUGUCCCAUUUAGCCAUAAGAUUAAUGCUCUGUUCUUUUUCAGGUUUUUGGCUUUAAUUCAUCCUUUUCUCAUUAUCAAAUUUUUCAUGUUUACAUGUUUUUAUUUAUCUUUAUGUAUGAGUCACUGUACAUUAUCUAAAAUUCAGUCAAUGUCAGCAAAAACUUAUCUGAGUUUUCAAGCGUUUUCUAGUAUUCUUAGAGUGUUGAUGAUAGAUGAGCAACAAGAAUAUUAUUUAGUUGGAGAAGGUAGCUUAUAAGAUUUUAUAGACUGAGCCAGAAUCAUGAAGUUGGUGAUGCAGCUAUAGCUCCAGCUAAUAACAAAUUAAAAAAUUGCUUGCCAAACAAAACCUGCAGGUCGGAAUCUGAUUCUACCCAAACAUUGGCCUAUUAAUUAUGGUCAAGCCAUCACGCCACUCUUCCUCUUUUCUAUUCUCUCAUCUCUAAAUGGAACAUCAAAUAACAUUCUAAUCUUUGGAUAUCCAACAUUUUAGUCAUUGUCGAUAUAAAUUUCUGAAUGUAGUGCAUUUGGUUAGUUUGCUUAUCAUAGGUUCUCAGACUUGAAGCAUAGACUUUGGUGCUCCUGAAUGGUGCGGGUACCUAAGCUAGAUAAGUUACUGAUUGGAAAUCAAAAUUACUAUAUCAUAGUUCUGUUUAUAAAUUUACUGCAACAAGAAAAUUUUUGUACAUUAAUUUCCCAGUAUUAAUCAUUUCUUGUGCAGGUGAUGACAUUCAAAUUUCAUAUUUACUCCCAUGUAAUCAUAUCAAAUGAAAAUUUGCUGUUAUUCUUUUCUGUUUAUGCAUUUUAGUUUCUUUUCAGACUUCUGUACUAAUGGCCAGUUGGUUAAAAGAAGAGUUUAUUACCAUUAUAUUCUUAGUGUAGUAGAAGUGGAUUAUGAUGACCACCAUUGGCAACAAUUUGGGAAUUCUGGCUUCUCUAAGAGUUAAACUAGUGGCAGAUGUGCUCUGUAAUGAAGCUGCUAGACUUGCAUUUGACUUAAUGCCCUGCCUCUUCCUGCAAGUUGGGACCUUAUCAUGUCCUCUAGUUGUUACUGGCUGUAUCCCCUCCCACAUAUUUUAAUGACAUACUGCAUAUUUUCAGUGUGGACUCUGUGUCAGAGAAGCUAGUCAACUUGACAAAGAAGUAGGAAGAGCCGAACAUACCUUAUGGGACAAUGUGCCUUCUCAAGUUUUGGCUUGGAUCCCCAUGGCUUUCCGAAGGUAUUUUAUCAUGUUAAUGUCAAUGUCACUUGCUUGAGGAUUUUUCAUUUUUGUAACUUUGUAAAUUAGACUUCCUUAUCAAACAAAUUAUGAACUUAGAACUACCGUAAAAAUCAUAGUCUAGUGCAGUUCUAUGAAGCAAUCUCUGGAAAGGUGAUUCAAAUACGGUUCCUAUGUGUUUUGCAUUAGGCAGUUGCUAUUUAGAUUUAAACAUGCACUAUUGGGCUUGACAACCUUGUAGUUUUAUAUGGAAAAUCUUAGUAGUCCUGACAUUGUUAUUUUCUUUUGUCCUUUGUAUCAUAUUGCUUUAAUAAUCAUGAAGAUGUUUCAGGGCAAAUAAUGGAACAUGGAUCAGGUUUUGGAGAUUGCAAGGAUUAGAGUGGCGUCUUGGCCGAAUGCAAAAUGACCAAGGGACUAUCCGUCAGUUCUCGAUGUGUACAGACAGCCCCCUGCUCAAGGUCAGUUGGUGAAAAAGGGACAGGAAAGGAAGGGAAUACAAUGGGAAAAGCCCAUGUAUAGACAAAUGAAGUUUAACGUUGAUGGAGCAGCUAGAGGAUGUCCGGGGCCAGCAGGGAUAGGUGGGAUAUUGAGGGAUCAUAGAGGGUAUGUCAAAAUUAUUUUUUCCAAAGCUAUUGGUGGGGCUGACUCUAAUUUAGCUGAGAUGAUGGCAGUAAGGGAAGCUUUUUUGACUUAUUCAGUUUCAAGAUGGAAGGAAAAUCACAAACUUCUCAUUGAGAGCGAUUCUAGCAAUGCAGUUAAGUGGACUAAUCAUCCUGAUACGGCACCAUGGAGAAUGAGAAAAUUAAUUCUGCAAAUGGGGAGAUUGAAAAGAGAAGUUGAGGGUUGGGAGAUUCGACAUGUCAGAAGAGAGGCGAACCAGAGAACGGAUACAUUAGCCAAGGAGGGGGUUCAACUUCAGUCUGCUAUCUUGAGAACCUUCACAUAAGUUUGGAUUUCUUGCCUUGUGCUAGGGGUGUUUUGGGUUUUACUGGUGUUGCUUGAUUUGAAGGGAUGAAGCUGAACUCUCUGGCAUUAAGAUUGAAUGUGAUGUUGAUGCAGGGUGGUGUCCUUUUGCCUGACUGUGGACUAGCUCAUAUUGCUGUUUUUUGUUUUCAAUGUUUUUAAAGAAUUUUUAUGUGUAUAGGCUGCUGGUUUUUGGAAUGUUUCUUGUUUUCAGAGCCUUGUUUUUUGUAGGCCAGAGGCUUGGGUUGCUGGGUGGUAUGUUUUGUAUAUGAUUUUUGGGGUUGUGUUUUUGUUACUCCUGCAUGUCUUUACUUGUAAGCAGGAAAGUGGCCUUUUGGAGUUGAUUCUAGGUUGCCUCUGUUGUUUUGUUUUGCUUUAUGAUCCGGUGCAGGGUUGGAUGCAAGACAGGGCUGUUUUGUAUCAAACGAAUAUUGGGAGGGCAUGCCUGGCUUUAAGUUUGCGGGUAUACCUUCCAAUAUACUUUGUGAUUGUCUGCUUCUCUGGGAUGUAUUUUGAAAGGGGGGAAAAUUCUUCCCCCUCCUUUUAAUGAGUUCUUUUUGGAUGCCUAUAAAAAAUAUAUAUAUCAUGAAGAAACCUGCAGUUGCAAAUUUUUAUUUUCUGGUGCUUAUUUUGAUUUCAAUCUCCAGGAAUUUCUGCAUUUUCCAUUGCCAGUUGAGUAAUUUUAAAACAUUUUUUGGUUAGAAAAUAAAUAAAAUAUUACUUAUUUUAUUAUAGAACUUUGCUAAAGAAAGCUUUAAGAUUAGAAUACAAUAACUUACCUAGAUAAAAAAGUGUUAUUAUGCCCCAACUUUUUCUCUCAAAUAUGAACAGUUACCAACCCCACCCUGUUGCAACUUCCAACCACCGGCCACCACAACUAUUCCCGCAAAAUCACCUUCAAGACCCAUCUCAGGUCUGCCUUGACGCCACCACAUUCUACCGCCACCGUCCACAGCCAUUGGUCCCACUCAACAAGAACCCUGCCCCACCCAAGAUUCACCUCCAUCACAACACUGCCACUCAUUCCUUCAGCCAUCCCCCAAACCACGAAAAUCCACCAACAACUCACCCAGUGAAACCUAUUAGCGCCCAUCCAUUGAGUGAUUGGCGAUCAUCCUUGCACUCGAUCUAUAUAGCCAAUCUUAGCAGAAGGGUUACUAGGCAAGGUUUAAGGGAGGUCUUCGACGCCUACGGAAGAGUGAGAGAUGUCUUCAUCUCCUUUAGGCAAAACCCCAAAAAAUCCACUACCUUCGCAUUUGUCAGGUAAAAAGAUACACGGGAAAUGGAAAGAGCCAUAUCACUAGGGAAUGGUAGGAGACUCGAUGGAUACAACAUCACAGUAAAAAAAGCAGACUAUGGAUGGAAUCAAAGGAAAAUACCCACUCAAACAAACACCUUCCCCCUCCACAAAGGCAUCCCACAGAAAAGCGGCAAAUCUCAACCCACACCAUUUCCCCGUUUGAUACCCAACUCACCUAGAGAUGGAAGAACUUAUCUCCAAGAUCUACAAAACAACCCCCCACCAAAACAACCACAACCCCAAGCCAGCUUCGAAAUCACGGUUGAGCAAGAGGAAUUUUCCUUUAAAGGUUAAAAAUCCAAAUAAAACAAUUCAAAAAUAAAAGACUAAAAUAAAACUAAAAUAAAAAAUUAAGAAGUAUGGAUAGAAUUUAACCCUCAAUAAGUAUUACUUGGGUUACGAAUUGUGCGAAUGAGUCGGUGCUGUAUCCGCACCAACUCUUCUGAGUGGGCUGUGAAGCAAACUUAACCGAAGCCCAUUAAUCAUAAGCACUCUCCUACUUUGCCCUAGAUAGUCUCAUCCCC